rnacentral:tRNA from 1 species
GUGCAUAUAAUUUAAAAAAAUAUUAGAUUGUGAUUCUAAAAAUGAAAGCCCAUCCCUUUCUAUGCACC